UGGAGCCCACUGUGUCCUAAACAAUGACUCCAAGGUUCUGAGAGAGCUUCUGGUUGACUCUUUUGGUCACAUGGCCCCGUUUCUCCUCCCAAGUACCAGAAAACAACAAAACAACCUGCUUUUGUCUGACUGACCCAGUCGGAUGAUUAUGAGACCUGAAGACAUCUGAGCUAUAGAUAAUCAGAGUCUCUGAGGAUAAACUGUUAAAUCAACACAUAAUGUAUCAGAAUAGAGAUAUUAAAAGUGAAUUCCCUGACCCACGGGACUAAGGCAAAACUUGACAUAUCUAGAAAUGUUAAUUUAAAAAGAUGAAUCAUCCUGGAAAACCUUACAUAAUUAUUUUAUCAAUCUUCACAAUAGUCUCCAAAGGUGCUGUGUCAAUGGAGACAUAGAGCUACAGCAAGACUUACUGUACUACCAGGAAAUAUGGGUACUGAACAAAUCAUUUUAUAGAUAACUCACUUCUACUUUUGUGGGACUUACCAACAACUUCAAGGUGUGACAGAGGCAUGGAAUGAUUGAUCU